CCCUUAGAUGUUCUGGGCCGCACGCGCGCUACACUGAUACGUUCAGCGAGUAUAUAACCUUGAUUGGAAAAUCUGGGUAAUCUUUUGAAUGCGUAUCGUGCUAGGGAUAGAUUAUUGCAAUUAUUAAUCUUGAACGAGGAAUUCCUAGUAAACGCAAGUCAUCGGCUUGCAUUGAUUACGUCCCUGCCCUUUGUACACACCGCCUGUCGCACAAACCGAUUGAAUGAUUCGGUGAAAAUUUUGGACAUCAAGAGUGGUGAUUAAUUUCGCUGCUCUUAAAUGGAAAGAAUUUAAACCUAAUUAUUUAGAGGAUUGUGAAGUCAUAACA
rnacentral:rRNA from 1 species